rnacentral:tRNA from 1 species
UCCCUGGUGGCUCAGAUGGUAAAGCGUCUGCCUGCAAUGCGGAAAACCUGGGUUCAAUCCCUGGUUCAAGAA